ensembl:lncRNA
GAACGCCACUGAUUACCUGACCUGACUGUCCUGAGGAGGUAAAGCUCUAUCACGUUAUAAAAGAAGCUUAGGAAAGUUUCUCACCUCAGUGAUGACGUGAGUGGGAUCCCAGCUUCCUGUGAGCUGCGACAGCAUCAGUUGGCUCUCCUGUUUGGGACACAAUUGAACCUAAUCAGCUGAAGCUAAAAAAGAAGAAAAGAAAAAAAAAAGAGCCCAGUUUGCAGACACCUUCCUCGAGCGCAGCGCUCCGAGAUCUAUCCGUUGCGCGUACGAGAGCACGCGAGAAGCAGAAGCUGAAACAACACAUCACCGAGGGCUGAGCGCAAUAAAAAGAAAGAAAAGAAAGAAAAAGUGCUGGUGGAACAAGCGGAGACAACCGCAGAUAUAUGCGGGAGGAAAGGAGGAGGAUCGAUUUAUCACGUCUCUCGCAUUUUGUGCCGUGUCCACCGGCGCAUGGUUUUUGAGGAGCUAUGAGGUCUCUGAACCACAAUGACAAUAUCACCGCCGGUCACCUCACACGGCUAAGGAGGACUUCAUCUAGGAUUUCACCCGAUUGACGGCGGCAAAGAGGCAGCUUUUUCAUACCUGACGGAGCUUUUGAUGAGCUCUGCACUGUUAAGACUUGUGAUUAACUGACUGAAACGAUUAUUUAGCAAACUAACAAGGUGGGUAAAAAUUG